rnacentral:rRNA from 1 species
GAUGAACGCUAGCGGCAGGCUUAACACAUGCAAGUCGAGGGGUAUAGUAGCAAUACUAGAGACCGACGCACGGGUGCGUAACGCGUAUGCAAUCUACCUUUCACAGAGGGAUAGCCCAGAGAAAUUUGGAUUAAUACCUCAUAGUAUUAUAGAGUGGCAUCAUUUUAUAAUUAAAGUCACAACGGUGAAAGAUGAGCAUGCGUCCCAUUAGCUAGUUGGUAAGGUAACGGCUUACCAAGGCAACGAUGGGUAGGGGUCCUGAGAGGGAGAUCCCCCACACUGGUACUGAGACACGGACCAGACUCCUACGGGAGGCAGCAGUGAGGAAUAUUGGGCAAUGGGCGAUAGCCUGACCCAGCCAUGCCGCGUGCAGGAAGACGGUCUUAUGGAUUGUAAACUGCUUUUUUACGGGAAGAACUGUUACUACGUGUAGUAAAU